rnacentral:rRNA from 1 species
UACGUAGGGCGCAAGCGUUGUCCGGAUUUAUUGGGCGUAAAGAGCUCGUAGGCGGCUUGUUGCGUCGACCGUGAAAACCCGCGGCUCAACUGCGGGCUUGCGGUCGAUACGGGCGAGCUGGAGUUCGGUAGGGGAGACUGGAAUUCCUGGUGUAGCGGUGAAAUGCGCAGAUAUCAGGAGGAACACCGGUGGCGAAGGCGGGUCUCUGGGCCGAUACUGACGCUGAGGAGCGAAAGCGUGGGGAGCGAACAGG